ensembl:snRNA U6 U6 spliceosomal RNA
GUGAUAAUCUUUUAGAGCACAUAUACUAAAAUUGGAACAGUGCAGAAAUUAGCAUGACCCCUGUUCAAGGGUGAUACAAAUUUAUGAAGCCUUCCAUAAAAAC